rnacentral:lncRNA from 1 species
UACCACUCCCACCAAAAGAGAAAAAAGGUUUCUAAAAAUGGACUGUUUCUUUUUUAUUUGAUACAGAUAUUCUGAUUUUCCAGUACGUUUUCAGAUCGAAAAUUAUUGGAAGAAACUGACAACCUAACAGCACAUCACACCAGCCAGGUUAAGUGGGAUUCAAGGGCCCUCCAGGAAGGACAGCCAAGAUUGUUGAUUCAACACUGAAUAAGGAAGCACCUGGAGAAAUAAGAGAGAG